rnacentral:rRNA from 1 species
GCUAGCCGGCUGAACCUAACACAUGCAAGUAGCAACGGUAACAGGAAUAGCUUGCUACUCGCUGACGAGUUGCGAACGGCUGCGUAACGCGUAUGCAACCUACCCUAAACAGGGGGAUAGCCUUUCGAAAGGAAGAAUAAUACCCCAUAAUAUGAUUGACUGGCAUCGGUUAAUUAUUAAAGCUCCGGCGGUUUAGGAUGGGCAUGCGUGUCAUUAGCUAGUUGGUUUGGUAACGGCAGACCAAGGCUACGAUGACUAGGGGUUCUGAGAGGAUUAUCCCCCACACUGGUACUGAGACACGGACCAGACUCCUACGGGAGGCAGCAGUGAGGAAUAUUGGUCAAUGGAGGCAACUCUGAACCAGCCAUGCCGCGUGAAGGAAGAAUGUUCUAUGGAUUGUAAACUUCUUUUAUACUAGAAGAACUGUAGCUACGUGUAGUUACUUGACGGUAUAGUAUGAAUAAGGACCGGCUAACUCCGUGCCAGCAGCCGCGGUAAUACGGAGGGUCCAAGCGUUAUCCGGAAUCAUUGGGUUUAAAGGGUUCGUAGGCUGAUUUAUAAGUCAGAGGUGAAAGUUUGUCGCUCAACGAUAAAAAUUGCCUUUGAUACUGGAAGUCUUGAGUAUCAAUGAAGUUGUUAGAAUGUGUAGUGUGCGGUGAAAUGCAUACAUAUACACAGAAUACCGAUUGCGGAGCCAG